rnacentral:rRNA from 1 species
UACGAAGGGGGCUAGCGUUGCUCGGAAUCACUGGGCGUAAAGGGUGCGUAGGCGGGUCUUUAAGUCAGGGGUGAAAUCCUGGAGCUCAACUCCGGAACUGCCUUUGAUACUGGUCGUCUAGAGAUCGGAGGAGGUGAGUGGAAUUCCCCAGGUGUAGAGGUGAAAUUCGUAGAUAUUGGGAAGAACACCAGUGGCGAAAGG